UGGGGAAUAUUGCACAAUGGGGGAAACCCUGAUGCAGCGACGCCGCGUGGGGGAUGACGGCCUUCGGGUUGUAAACCUCUUUCAGUAGGGAAGAAGCCUUCGGGUGACGGUACCUGCAGAAGAAGUACCGGCUAACUACGUGCCAGCAGCCGCGGUAAUACGUAGGGUACAAGCGUUGUCCGGAAUUAUUGGGCGUAAAGAGCUCGUAGGUGGUCUGUCACGUCGGCUGUGGAAACGCAAGGCUCAACCUUGCGCGUGCAGUGGGUACGGGCGGACUAGAGUGCAGUAGGGGAGUCUGGAAUUCCUGGUGUAGCGGUGAAAUGCGCAGAUAUCAGGAGGAACACCGGUGGCGAAGGCGGGACUCUGGGCUGUAACUGACGCUGAGGAGCGAAAGCAUGGGGAGCGAACA
rnacentral:rRNA from 1 species